GACGAACGCUGGCGGCGUGCUUAACACAUGCAAGUCGAACGGAAAGGCCUGCUUUCCCUUGUGGAUUGCGGGUACUCGAGUGGCGAACGGGUGAGUAACACGUGAGUGAUCUGCCCCCAACUUGGGUAUAAGCCUGGGAAACUGGGUCUAAUUCCCGAUAGGACUGCAGGGUGGUGCCUGUGGUGGAAAACGAUUUUCUAGUGGUUGGGGAUGAGCUCUCGGCCUAUCAGCUUGUUGGUGGGGUAAUGGACUACCAAGGCGGCGACGGGUAGCCGGCCUGAGAGGGUGGACGGCGACAUUGGGACUGAGUCACGGCCCAGACUCCUACGGGAGGCAGCAAUGGGGAAUAUUGGACAAUGAGCGGAAGCCUGAUGCAGCGACGCCGCGUGGGGGAUGACGGGCUUCGGGUUGUAAACUCCUUUCGACCGCGAGGAAGCCACCUGGUUGGAAGGGUGGUGACGGUAGUGGUAGAAGAAGCACCGGCUAACUACGUG
rnacentral:rRNA from 1 species